rnacentral:rRNA from 1 species
AGGAUUAACGCUGGCGGCGUGCCUAACACAUGCAAGUCGAACGAGGUAGCAAUACCUAGUGGCAGACGGGUGAGUAGCGCGUGGUCAACCUACCGUUGAGUGGGGGAUAACUAGCCGAAAGGUUAGCUAAUACCGCAUACGUCUCCGAGGGGCAUCCCUUGGCGAUAAAAAGGAGCAAUCCGCUCGAUGACGGGACCGCGUCCCAUUAGCUAGUUGGUGGGGUAACGGCCUACCAAGGCGUCGAUGGGUAGCUGGUUUGAGAGAGCGACCAGCCACACUGGGACUGAGAUACGGCCCAGACUCCUACGGGAGGCAGCAGUGAGGAAUUUUCCGCAAUGGGCGAAAGCCUGACGGAGCGACGCCGCGUGUGGGAAGAAGGCCUUCGGGUCGUAAACCACUGUCGAAGGGGAAGAUAAUGACGGUACCCUUGGAGGAAGCCCCGGCUAACUACGUGCCAGCAGCCGC